rnacentral:rRNA from 1 species
AGAGUUUGAUCAUGGCUCAGGAUGAACGCUGGCGGCGUGUCUAAGGCAUGCAAGUCGAGUGGGUUUAGACCCACGGCAAACGGGUGAGUAACACAUUGGUAACCUGCCCCGAAGUUCAGAAUAACCCCGCGAAAGCGGGGCUAAUACUGGAUGCGCUUUGGCGACAUAUGUCGUUAAAGCAAAGAUUUAUCGCUUCGGGAGGGGCCUAUGGCCUAUCAGCUAGUUGGCGAGGUAACGGCCCACCAAGGCUUUGACGGGUAGCGGGCGUGAGAGCGCGACCCGCCUCACUGGGACUGAGACACUGCCCAGACUCCUACGGGAGGCUGCAGUCAAGAAUAUUCCCCAAUGGCCGAAAGGCUGAGGGAGCGACGCCGCGUGACUGAAGAAGCCCUUCGGGGUGUAAAGGUCUUUUAUUAGGGACGAACUAAUGACGGUACCUAAUGAAUAAGGGGCUGCUAACUUCGUGCCAGCAGCAGCGGUAAUACGAAGGCCCCAAGCGUUAUCCGGAUUUAUUGGGCGUAAAGAGUCUGUAGGCGGCCUGAAUAGUUUUUCGUCAAAUCCCGAGGCUCAACCUUAGGACCGCGAAAAAUACUUUCAGGCUAGAGGCUGGGAGAGGCAGAUGGAAUUGCCGGUGUAGCGGUAAAAUGCGUUAAUAUCGGCAAGAACACCAAAUGCGAAGGCUUUCUGCUGGAACAGUUCUGACGCUGAGAGACGAAAGCGCGGGGAGUGAAUGGGAUUAGAUACCCCAGUAAUCCGCGCCGUAAACGAUGGAUGCUUGGCAUUGGAAGUAUCGACCCUUUCAGUGCCGCUUAAUCAAGUUAACACCUUAAGCAUCCCGCCUGGGUAGUACGGCCGCAAGGCUAAAACUCAAAGGAAUUGACGGGGACCCGCACAAGCGGUGGAGCAUGUGGUUUAAUUCGACAAUAAGCGAGGAACCUUACCAGGGUUUGACAUGAUGCUGCAAAUCCCAGGAAACUGGGACGCCUUCGAGGGUGCAUCACAGGUGCUGCAUGGUUGUCGUCAGCUCGUGUCGUGAGAUGUACCGUUAAGUCGGGCAACGAGCGCAACCCCUAUUCUGUGUUAAAUCACUCACAGAAAACUGCCCCCCACCCAGCGCAUUUACUUCAUAAGUGCUCUGAGUGGGGGGAGGAAGGCGGGGAUGACGUCAAAUCAGCAUGGCUCUUACAUCCUGGGCGACACACGUGCUACAAUGGCCAACACAAAGGGUCGCUAAGCCGCAAGGCGGAGCUAAUCCCAUCAAAAUUGGCCCCAGUUCGGAUUGAGGUCUGCAACUCGACCUCAUGAAGCCGGAAUCGCUAGUAAACGCGUAUCAGCCAUGGCGCGUUGAAUACGUUCUCGGGUCUUGUACACACCGCCCGUCAAGUCAAUAAAGUCUUCAGUACCCAAAUGCCGGCGUAGGCCGGCAAAAGGUAAGGGAGAUGAUAGGGACUAAGUCGUAACAAGGUAACC